ensembl:rRNA 5S_rRNA 5S ribosomal RNA
GUCUACAGCCACACCAUCCUGAAUGUGCCCGAUCUCAUCUGAUCUCAGAAGCUAAGCAGAGUAGGGCCUGGUUAGUACUUGGAUGGCAGAAAAUAAUCACAUGUAUAACCUUAGUUCUAUACU